rnacentral:rRNA from 1 species
UACGUAGGGUGCAAGCGUUGUCCGGAAUUAUUGGGCGUAAAGAGCUCGUAGGCGGUCUGUCGCGUCGGAUGUGAAAAUCCAGGGCUCAACCCUGGACCUGCAUUCGAUACGGGCAGACUAGAGUUCGGCAGGGGAGACUGGAAUUCCUGGUGUAGCGGUGAAAUGCGCAGAUAUCAGGAAGAACACCAAUGGCGAAAGCAGCUCUCUGGGACGGUACUGACGCUGAGACGCGAAAGCGUGGGGAGCGAACAGG